rnacentral:rRNA from 1 species
AGUGAACGCUGGCGGUAGGCCUAACACAUGCAAGUCGAACGGCAGCACAGUAAGAUCUUGCUCUUACGGGUUGCGAGUGGCGGACGUGUGAGGAAUAUAUCGGAAUCUACUUUUUCGGGUGGGAUAACGUAGGUGAACUUACGCUCAUACCGCAUACGACCUACGGGGGAAAGCAGUGGAUCUUCGGACCUUGCGCGAUUGAAUGAGCCGAUGUCGGAUUAGCUAGUUGGGGGGGUAAAGGCCCACCAAGGCGAGGAUCCGUAGCUGGUCUGAGGGGAUGGUCAGCCACACUGGAACUGAGACACGGUCAAGACUCCUAAGGGAGGCAGAAGUGGGGAAUAUUGGACAAUGGGCGCAAGCCUGAUCCAGCCAUACCGCGUGGGUGAAGAAGGCCUUCGGGUUGUAAAGCCCUUUUGUUGGGAAAGAAAAGCAGCAGGUUAAUACCCCGCUGUUCUGACGGUACCCAAAGAAUAAGCACCGGCUAACUUCGUG